UACGAGGGGUGCAAGCGUUAUUCGGAAUUAUUGGGCGUAAAGGGUGCGUAGGUGGUAUAUUAAGUCAAUUGUUAAAUUCCCCGGCCUAACCGGGGGUAUGCGGUAGAAACUGAUAUGCUAGAGGGUGGAAGAGAGAAGUGGAAUUCUCGGUGUAGCGGUAAAAUGCGUAGAUCUCGAGAGGAACACCAAUGGCGAAGGCAGCUUCUUGGUCCACACCUGACACUGAGGCACGAAAGCGUGGGGAGCAAACAGG
rnacentral:rRNA from 1 species